rnacentral:tRNA from 1 species
GACCCCAUCGUCUAGAGGCCUAGGACACCGGCCUUUCACGCCGGCAACAGGGGUUCGAAUCCCCUAGGGGACGCCA